UGUAAUGAUAGGCGAAUCUACUGAAGAGUAGAGACGCAAAGCUACAGGUCUAAAGCAUUAAUGCUAUGACGGCUGGGUUGCCAAA
rnacentral:ncRNA from 1 species